rnacentral:rRNA from 1 species
ACNUGCAAGUUGAACGGGAUCAGUUGUAGCAAUACGACUGUGAGAGUAGCGCACGGGUGCGUAACACGUAUGGAAUCUGCCCCUAUCUGUGGAAUAGCCCCUCGAAAGAGGGAUUAAUACCACAUAAUAUAAUGAGUAGGCAUCUAUUUAUUAUCAAAGCUCAGGCGGAUAGGGAUGACCAUGCGGCUGAUUAGCUAGUUGGUGAGGUAAUGGCUCACCAAGGCUACGAUCAGUAGGGGGUCUGAGAGGAUGUCCCCCCACACUGGUACUGAGACACGGACCAGACUCCUACGGGAGGCAGCAGUAGGGAAUAUUGGUCAAUGGGCGCAAGCCUGAACCAGCCAUGCCGCGUGCAGGAUUAAGGCCCUAUGGGUCGUAAACUGCUUUUGUACGGGAAGAAACCUCAUUACGUGUAAUGAGUUGACGGUACCGUGAGAAUAAGGAUCGGCUAACUUCGUGCCAGCAGCCGCGGUAAUACGAAGGAUCCAAGCGUUGUCCGGAUUUACUGGGUUUAAAGGGUGCGUAGGUGGAUGAUUAAGUCAGUGGUGAAAGCUUGCAGCUUAACUGUAAAAUUGCCAUUGAAACUGAUCGUCUUGAAUAUGGUUGGGGUGGGUUGGAAUGUUGCAUGUAGCGGUGAAAUGCUUAGAUAUGCAACAGAACACCGAUUGCGAAGGCAGAUCACUAAACCAUUAUUGACACUGAGGCACGAAAGCGUGGGGAUCAAACAGGAUUAGAUACCCUGGUAGUCCACGCCCUAAACGUUGCAUACUCGGUCUUAGCGAUAAACAGUUAGGACCCAAGCGAAAGCGUUAAGUAUGCCACCUGGGAAGUACGACCGCNANGUUGAAACUCAAAGGAAUUGACGGGGGCCCGCACAAGCGNANGANCAUGUGNUUUAANU